rnacentral:rRNA from 1 species
UACAGAGGGUGCAAACGUUGCUCGGAAUCAUUGGGCGUAAAGCGCACGUAGGCGGCCUAGCAAGUAGGGAGUGAAAGCCCUCGGCUUAACCGAGGAAGUGCUUUCUAAACUACUAGGCUUGAAUACUGGAGAGGGUCGCGGAAUUCCCGGUGUAGAGGUGAAAUUCGUAGAUAUCAGGAGGAACACCAGUGGCGAAGGCGGCGACCUGGGCAGAUAUUGACGCUGAGGUGCGAAAGCGUGGGGAGCAAACAGG